CCGCGACGCCCCCCCGCUGUCGCCUGGCCCGCGACGCACCGAGGCCUGAGGACCCGAAAGCCGGGCGCGGGGAGAUGACCGGUGGCUCGUGACGGUCCCACGGGCAAAAUCUUCCAUCGCCCGGGGCUGAGACUUGUCAAACUGCCCUCUACGGUCACCCGGAAAGUAGGAGGCUUUUUCUGCAGAGGGGAAAAAAAUCAAAAAGAGCCGUUCCAUCCCCCCUCCAAGGACUGGGUUUGAAUUGCUUUUCAUCUGCAGUGGCUGUGAUUCAGCGUCCCUCUUAGCAGCAGGCAAUGACAGAGGCAGGAGAGGGGAAAAAAAAAAAGAAAGAAAGAAAAAACACAGCAAAUGAAUCAAACGGACGUAGCAGGCAAGAGUGUGGUUAUCGUUGGACCAGGAUUCAGGAUCUGACUGAGUAGCUGACUCUUAAUCCAGUUUGUGUUGAUCACCAGGAGGAUCUGGACCUCAGUAUUACCACAUCUAGAGCUAUAAUCACAUCCCUGUUAAGCCUUCCUGAGAUCACACCAAAUGUCCUUGAUGGGAAUUGUAAACAACCCUUACUUCUGGUUUCUAAUGAUAUUCCAGGAAAGGAGCCUAACUAGAGUCAGUGAUAUGCCAACUCCACCUUUGCCUUCCACCAUGUUUGGAAGCUCCCUGAGGCCUCACCAGGAGCAGAUGCUCGUCCCAUGCUUCCUAUAAGCCUGCAGAACUGUGAGCCAUAAUAAACUGUGAAUUAUAAAUUGCCUUUAUAGCAAUGCAAAUGGACCAGUACAGAUGGGAUGCUGGGAAGACAGUUGUUUCCACCUUCAGUAAAGUCCGUGGAACACAGUUGUGACUAUAUUCUAGGCCAGCCAAGAUGCUUGUACUCAGAAAGGAGUGGUCUCAGGACCAUAAGAAAGUGAAAAAAUAAAAAUAAGAAAAUAAAGAAGGGAUUGUCAAUGAAUCAGAAUUCAUCAAGGUCAAAGUCUUAGGAAAUUCCUUCAUGAGGAAGUCUAGGGGGGCUAUGGAAAUGAAAUUUUUAAACAAAUAGGUAUGUGGUGCUGGCAGGAAUAAAUUAUGGACUUAUGAAUAUAACAUAAGAUUCUUUAUUACCUGGUCUCACCCGUCUUUCCACCUCUGCCCCCCUUCUUGCCCGACUCUGUGUAUCACCCAUAAUAAACUACUUACAGCUUCCUAGUGUUAAAUUUACCCUAAAGCUGCCUCCUUCAAUAUUUUAAGUUUAACCUAAAGGUUCUUCAUACAUAGUGAACUAUAACCCAAUGAUUAAACAGAUUGUAACCUACUCUUGUACCAGUCACCAAGUUUCAGCCAAUCAGAGGUGGCCAACUGUUCAAACCAUGCUCAAAUAAGGGAAAUGUCAUGGUGUAACUAAUCCAGCUGUUUCUAUACCUUACUUCUGUUUUCUUAGGUCACUUUCCUUUUUUGUCCAUAAAUUCUCUCCAACCACUCAGCAGCACUGGAGUCACUCCAAAGCUAUCCUGGUUCAGGGGUCUGUCUGAUUCACAAGUCAUUCUUUGUUCAAUUGAGCUCUGCUAAAUUUAAUUUGUCUGAAGUUUUUCUUUUAACAGAUGGUGUCAGAAAUGGACCCCAAAGUAGAGCUCCCAGUGAUCCCCCAGGAGCACUGAGUGACCACAAGGGGUACCUGCUGGGCCCGUCCUCUCGCAGUGUCCACUGCUCUCUUACAGCAACUGGAGAUUGUGGCUGCAUUCUCUCUCAGAUUCUGAAGCUCCAUACAUUGCCGUUUUCAGCUGUUCAAGCUUGCUUGAGCAAAUUUUUGAUCUUAGCUGAGUUUGGAAGUCGAUAGACAUUGGACUGGGUCCAGGAUUUGAUUGGAUCUGAUAAUUAACUGGCUUGGAUCCAGUUAGAUGCCUCGGUUAUCUGACUGGGUCAGAUAGAAACCGCCAGUAAAUAUUUUAAUAACAAUACUGCAGGGGUAUGAACUCUGGCUUUAAGAAACUCACAAGGAAUUUUAUGUUCUAUACCCUUUGUUUCUUUUUCUUGUGUGCUUCGGUCAGGAAAAAUCAUUAGUCAAGUUAAUCAAGGGGAUCUGAGAGCCAAAUACAAGAUUCAACGUAAAAAUGGAAUCCUUGGGCUAGGCGUGGUGGCUCAGGCCUGUAAUCCCAGGACUUUGGGAGGCUGAGGCAGGCGGAUCACCUGACCUUAGGAGUUCGAGACCAGUCUGGCCAACAUGGUGAAACCCCGUCUCCACUAAAAAUACAAAAAUUAGCCAGGCGUGGUGGUGGGCACCUGUAAUCCCAGCUACUUUGGAGGCUGAGGCAGGAUAAUCACUUGAACCCAGGAGGCAGAGGUUGCAGUGAUCUGAGAUUGCACCACUGCACUCCAGCCUGGGCAAAAGAGCGAGACUCCAUCUCAUAAAUAAAUACAUAAAUAAAUAAAGAAAUCCUUAAUUUCUGCGGAACUGAGUGCUCUACCUUCUGGCUACACCUACGUAUACCUGUAUGAGGUAUAGGCCCUGGAAGCAGCAAACACUUACAGAAAUGGUGAAAUCUUACUAAAGGGAAAAGAAAGCUGGAUAAAGUAUUUAUAGAAGAUAGAGGACCUGUGGUGGCUCAUGCCUGUAAUCCAAGGUGGAAGGAUUGCUUGAGGCCAGAAGUUCAAGACCAGUCCAAGCAACAUAGCAAGGCCCCAUCUCUACAAAAAAUGAAAAUAAAAUUAGCCGAGCGUGAUGGCUCAUGCCUGUAGUUCUAGCUUCUAGAGAGGCUGAGGCAGGAGGAUUGCUUGAGUCCAGGAGUUCAAGAUUACAGUGAGCUAUGGUCACACCACUGCACUCCAGCCUGGGUGAUGGAGUGAGACUGUCUCAAUAAAAAGACAAAAAGGCUGGCCAGGGGCAGUGGUUCAUGCCUGUAAACCCAGCACUUUGGGAGGCAAAGGCAGGAGGAUUGCUUAAGCCCAGGAAUUUGAGAUCAGCCUGGACAACAUGGUGAGACCCCCAUCUCUACAAAAAUUUUUUUUAAAAGUUACCCAGGCAUGGUGUUGCACAUCUGUGUUCCCAGCUACUGGGGAGGCUGAGACGGGAGGAUCACUUGAGUCCAGGAAGUUGAGAGGUUGAGGCUGCUGUGAGCUGUGAUUGUGCCACUGCACUUUAGCCUGGACAACAGAGGGAGACCCUGUCAACAACAACAACAACAACAAAAAAGCAAAACAUCAUAGGCUGCAGAAAUAAACUUUCUUGUCAAUUGUGUCUUUAACCAUGACCAUUUUGAGUCAUUUCCACAGUGAGUUGCCUAAUUUUGAUGCAUUUCUGAAAACUCUUUAUAAGCAAGUAAAAUCCUAGAGAAUUGUGCCUUCAAGGAGACUCAUGGAAAGGAUGGAAAGAACUCUUGAAUACAUGUUUCUGAUAGCUUUAUGAUCAUAUCAUUUGGACUGGGUAAGAAUUCCCAGAACUCAUGAAGAGACUGACUAUUUAUUAAUCCAAGCAGGAAAAGAAUUAAUUGAAUACCAAGGAAAUACUGUGCCAGAGAUUUUCAUGCUAAAUCAGUCAGCACCGAAAUCGUUAAGAUGUGUAGUUUGAAUGAACUCCAUGAUCCUAGUCAAAUUUCCUAUGAUGACCCAUUUAAUAAACAGUGCUAUGCACCUGAAUUGGAGAAACAGAAUUGAUACUUAAAUCCAAUGUUAAUCAUAGAUUCAUGGAAAGCCUAAAUGGCUGCUUGGGUCUUCCUGAGCCCUUAAAGCUUCCAUUAUUAAAGGCUCUGCACUUUAUAAGUUAUCACUGAAGAGAGAAAAUGAUCCAGAUUUAAAAUACACAUAUUGGUGUGGUGAAUGUUCUAAAUUGCGAAAAUGGUUUAUGACCAACAUUUGGUUUGUCAUGCUCACAAUCCUGGAAAUACAUUCAAAACUUCAGGUACAUUUCUGCUACCUGAUGGGCUAUUUGAAUAUAUAGAGAGGGAUUUCAUUCAAUUGCCAUUUUCAUUGCAUGUUUUUUGGUUGUAUAGAAGCUUUCCCAUGCAAGGAGGCUGAUGCUGUUAUUACAGUAGCUAAAAGGUUAGUAGGAAAUGUGUUUUCCCCCAUGGGGCAUUCCUGGAGAAAUCUCUAGCAAUAAAGGUACUUGUUUGACUGGACAAGUUGUAAAACAGUUUAAUAAGGUUUUUUUUAGGUGUCAUAGCAUUAGGCAAAGCUAACUGAAUUGACUGGAUUGUCAUAGUCAAACAUAUUGCAGAUCCGCUUCCAAUAGAAGACAAUGAAAUAGUCACUGGAAAGCCUGUGCUCCUAAUUUUAGAACCUCAUGUAUCUUCUGCUCCUAAACUCUGAUAGGACUAAAUGCUGUGAGGCCUCAAUGCAUUAUGUUAAUGUGUAUUUUCACCAGGUCAAGGAAGCUUUUCCUGAUCCACUAACUAAGGACAAUCAAACCCUUCAUGAUCUAGAAUCUGGAGACUGUGUCUUCUGGGAAUAGUAUCAGAGAAAGACUGCCCUUACUGCCCACAUGUAGCAAAACUUUGAGACGUUGAAUUAUGGGUCCAUAAUCUCACAACUCAGAGGGGCACCUCUAGACUCUUGGAACUGUAUAUCUAUUGGAGACUUUAAGGUAAAGCUGAACAGAGAGACGUUUUUCUCCAGAAGCAGACAGCACCAUAGUCAUGGACAGCUUUCCCAAGAUCACAGAUCAAGACUUCUCUGCCGUCAUGAGACUCAUAACCUCUUAAUUUUUUCUUGCUUAUGCUUCUGUGAACAAUAGAAUUGGAAAAGGGGUGGUCCCGCGUGCACCCAUAGGGUAUACUUUUAUUUGUGGAGGAUUUUGCUGCCAACCUUAUACAUGGGCAAACUUAUGCCUUCAUGGAUGGAAGAUAAAGGGCUAAUAUGGGUUAGAAAUUUUAAUGGUACCUUUGUUUCUCCAUAAUCAUUCAGAAACAGAACACUGGUCCACUCUUGUUAACCUACAUCAUAGGUUGAAGAGAACAUUGCCAGGAGGCCUUCAUCCUUCCAGAUGGGCACCAUUUGUUGGGUCUUUUUCCGUGGUAUGAAGAAAAUGAAGCAAUGAUUAGAAAUUGGUCCCUCGGCCGGGCACAAUGGCUCAUGCCUGUAAUCCCAUCACUUUGGCAGGCCGAGGCGGGUGGAUCACCUGAGGUCAGGAGUUUGAGACCAGCCUGACCAAUGUGGUGAAACGCCAUCUCUACUAAAAAUACAAAAAUUAGCUGGGUGUGAUGGUGCACACCUGUAAUCCAGCUACUCGGGAGGCUGAGACAGGAGAAUUGCUUGAACCUGGGAGGCAGAGGUUGCAGUGAGCCAAGAUCACCCCACUGCAUUCCAGGUUGGGCAACAGAGCAAGACUCUGUCUCAAAAAAAAAAGAAGAAAGAAAGAAAUUGAUCCCUCAUAAUAGGCUGUAUAGCAGAUUCUACUGCAAAGGCUAUGGUUGCACAACAGACUUCUUUGAAUUUGCUUGCUAAACUUUUACUGGAUAAUACUGGGAUUACAGGUGUGAGCCACUGUGCCCAGCCUCUCCUGUUUAACUGUAUUCAUUCUAAUGUUUACUUACUUCUUUAAUUUGUAAAAUUGGGUCACUUAGAGUUUUUUUAGCCUAUCUUGCCAUUUAGCCACUGUUACUGAUAAUUUGGAUGGAAAAGAAAAAUAAAUUAUAUCACCUCUCAUCUUCAGUGUAUAUAUGUGUUAACUUAGUAAAUAUAGUAUUCUUUCUCGUUCCUAAUGAAAAUUUAGUUUACGUACUGAAACACUGCAAACUUUUAUAAAUAUUGUGAUGUAUUUGACCAAUACAAAGGAUCUUUUUAGAAACAGCAAACAGUUCUCAGAUUAUAGGAAUUACUCAUUUAAUGAUAGUUUCUUCUU
rnacentral:lncRNA from 1 species